rnacentral:rRNA from 1 species
GACGAACGCUGGCGGCGUGCCUAAUACAUGCAAGUCGAACGCUUCUUUUUCCACCGGAGCUUGCUCCACCGGAAAAAGAGGAGUGGCGAACGGGUGAGUAACACGUGGGUAACCUGCCCAUCAGAAGGGGAUAACACUUGGAAACAGGUGCUAAUACCGUAUAACAAUCGAAACCGCAUGGUUUUGAUUUGAAAGGCGCUUUCGGGUGUCGCUGAUGGAUGGACCCGCGGUGCAUUAGCUAGUUGGUGAGGUAACGGCUCACCAAGGCCACGAUGCAUAGCCGACCUGAGAGGGUGAUCGGCCACAUUGAGACUGAGACACGGCCCAAACUCCUACGGGAGGCAGCAGUAGGGAAUCUUCGGCAAUGGACGAAAGUCUGACCGGGCAACGCCGCGUGAGUGAAGAAGGUUUUCGGAUCGUAAAACUCUGUUGUUAGAGAAGAACAAGGAUGAGAGUAACUGUUCAUCCCUUGACGGUAUCUAACCAGAAAGCCACGGCUAACUACGUGCCAGCCGCCGCCGUAA